CACGGGGGGAGCAAGCGUUGUUCGGAAUCACUGGGCGUAAAGGGCGUGUAGGCGGUCAGGUAAGUGAGAUGUGAAACGCCUCGGCUCACCCGAGGACCUGCAUCUCAAACUGCCUGGCUUGAGUAUGGGAGAGGAUGAGGGAAUUCCUGGUGUAGCGGUGAAAUGCGUAGAUAUCAGGAGGAACACCGGUGGCGAAAGCGCUCAUCUGGCCCAAUACUGACGCUCAUGCACGAAAGCGUGGGGAGCAAACAGG
rnacentral:rRNA from 1 species